rnacentral:tRNA from 1 species
GGGGAUAUGGCUCAGUGAUAGAGCAUUUGCCUAGAAUGCUUGAGGUCCUGGGUUUGAUCCCCAGCAUUCCCA